rnacentral:rRNA from 1 species
UACGUAGGUGGCAAGCGUUGUCCGGAUUUAUUGGGUUUAAAGGGUGCGUAGGCGGCCCUGUAAGUCAGCGCUGAAAUAUCCCGGCUUAACUGGGAGGGUGGCAUUGAUACUGCAGGGCUUGAGUAAAGUUGAGGUUGGCGGAAUUGACGGUGUAGCGGUGAAAUGCUUAGAUAUCGUCAAGAACACCGAUAGUGAAGACAGCUAACUAAGCUUUAACUGACGCUGAGGCACGAAAGUGUGGGGAUCAAACAGG